AAUAGAAUGUUCAAUGCCAGCUUGUACCAUUAAGUCAUUGACAUUCUUCUGUAAGUCCUCAAUGCGAUUUCCCAUUUCUUCCAGUACAGUGUUUAAUGUUGCAGUCAGAGCUUGAAAAUGUUCCUGAAGUUCCUGUAAUAGAUUUUCUGCCUGAAAAAAUAAACCGUAAGACAAUUGAAUAAAUA